rnacentral:sRNA from 1 species
AAGAAGUUCAGGGAUGACCUUUAAAGAUUCUCCCCACCCAAAAAGUAUUACCCCAUCAUCCUAUUCUCCCAUCCACCUUGAUCUUCUUCCCUGCGUCCCUAUCCAUCAACGCUAUUUGUACCCGCCACGUGUUGCCACCUCAUUCUUUUCCUUCCUCUGUGCACCCCUCCUCACCUAACCUAUAUGUCUCCCCUCACUUCUCAAUCAAAGCCGGGGACAAGGUUGUCCCACCAGCAUCUCAGACAAUGAGCCUCUCCUGGCACCUGUCGCUCUGUGCCCCUCCCUGCCCCCCCCCCCCCCCCAGUUUUCCUCAAGUCGCUUCUCUCAGUCUCUGCUUAGAUGAAUGUGUGUGCAUGUGCAAGAGAGGGAGGGCGAGCCCUUCCUCUCCUGGUCUUUGUGCAGGACCACCAUGGGUCCAUAAGACAACUUUGUGCAAAUUUGAAAAAGGCACCCUUUCCACAGAACAUGCCUGUUGGAAAAUUGUUGCAAUCCACCAAUGUGGUGAGAACAAGACACUUUUUUUCUAUCAGCUGGGAAGCUGUUAUAUUUAAUACACAAAUCGGGGGCUGGGCGUGGUGGCUCAUGCCUGUAAUCCUAGUGCUUUGGGAGGCUGAGAUGGGAGGAUCACUUGAGCCCAGUUCGAGACUAGCCUGGGCAACAUAGCAAGACCCCAUCUCUACCAAAAAAAAAUAUUUUAAUUAAUAAAUAAUAAGUAUAUAAAUCUAUCAUUUCCAAGAUGGGAGCCCUUUGUGCAGUGUACAACCUGCACAACUGUGCACAGUGGCCCAGUCUAUGUGUGUUUCUCUAUUUCCCACCUCCUUCCCCACCCUACCCCCAGUGUCCCCUCCAGUGUCCUGCUCUGGAUUUACCAUACCCCUCCCCAUCUUCAACUCUGUGUUUCCCGCCCACGUGUGUCUGAAUCCCCACCCAAGUCGCCCUCACCCCCCUUCUCUGUGCCACUUCAGCCUGGGCUGGUGCACACCAGCCCAGCAUCCUCUCCCAUGCCACCAAGCAUGGUGGACAGAGCCCCUGCCUGGGACAUGGGGAAUCUUUUCUUCCCUGGGCUGGAAGGGAGUGCCCCUCACCCCUUCCCCCUGCCAUUGCACAGAGAGCCAAGAUCCGGACAUGCCCCUGAGAUACACUUCCCACGGAGCUAUGAAUGAGUCUCGAGAUUCCGUCUGCAUGCGCCCCUGUCUGUGCUGUUCUGUGUCACAGCCUCGCUGCAUGCCUGCGAGGGGCCUGCCCCGUCAGUGGGGGGCUGCCUGCCUGCUGCUUCUCAGAGGAAUGAUGUGGUCUGUGACCAUCUGCUCUGUCCUGGUCUGGGCCAAGCCAGGGGUUGGGUGUGGGGAGCCAGCGGCGCCCCCCACCAGCGGCUGUGGUCCUGGCCCCCUCAGCCUUGGCUAUUGCAUGCACUGCUCAAAUCCAGCUUGUGCUCUUUUUCUUUGGGGUCAGACCGAAAUGGGGCCGUCCAGAAGAACUCUGGGGCAGGGCGGGGGUGGGGCAAGGAUUGAGGCAAACCCUGGAAAUGCCAGUUCUCAGCUCAAGCAGGUGGGGGGGAAAAGGAGAGGGCAGGGGACCAGAAGUACAAGAGAGCCUUUUGUGCCCUCCCUGCGGGCCACCAAGAGAAACUGAGUACUGGGACAGGUAACCUAAGUAAGGGACACCUCAGCCGCCACAGCUUUCAGAGUUCUUCCUGGGACUCCCUGGGUAGGGGCGGGUGCGGCUCACGGGAGACCCAGGAGGGAUGCCUGGGAAUGACUGCGCUUGCCUUGGGUUUUCUGUAGCGGCUUCUGCGGAUGGACCUGCCCGUCGCAGAUGACAACACCGUCCACUUCAAUUCCACCCUCAUGGCUCUGAUCCGCACAGCCCUGGACAUCAAGAUUGCCAAGGGAGGAGCCGACAAACAGCAGAUGGACGCUGAGCUGCGGAAGGAGAUGAUGGCGAUUUGGCCCAAUCUGUCCCAGAAGACGCUAGACCUGCUGGUCACACCUCACAAGUCCACGGACCUCACCGUGGGGAAGAUCUACGCAGCCAUGAUGAUCAUGGAGUACUACCGGCAGAGCAAGGCCAAGAAGCUGCAGGCCAUGCGCGAGGAGCAGGUGCGCUGUUCGCCGCUCUGGGGACACCUGGGCUGGGGACAGUGGCUUGCAUGUCACCAUGGGAACCAACUGGAAUAUGAGGGUGGCUGAGCCCCAGGGCAGGUCCCUGAAAAGUAGGGGCUGGGCACAGCAGCUCACACCUGCAAUCUCAGUGCUUUGAGAGGCCAGGGCAGAGGGAUCGUUUGAGACCAGGAUGAGACCACCCUGGGCAACACAGUGAGACUCCAUCUCUACAAAAUAAAACAUUAGCCAGGCAUGGUGGUGCACACCUGUAGUCCCAGCUAUUUAGGAGGCCAAGAUGGGAGGAUCACUUGAGGCCAGGAGUGGGAGACCAGUCUGGGCAACAUAGAAAGACCCAUAUCGCUACAAAAAAAAAAAUAAAAUUAGCUGCAUGUGGCACCAUGCACCUGUGGUCCCAGCUACUUGGGAGGCUGAGGCAGGAGAAUCACUU